rnacentral:rRNA from 1 species
CCUACGGGCGGCAGCAGUGGGGAAUAUUGCACAAUGGGGGAAACCCUGAUGCAGCGACGCCGCGUGAGUGAAGAAGGAUUUCGGGAUGUAAAGCUCUAGCAGCAGGGAAGAAAAGGACGGUACCUGAGGAAGAAGCCCCGGCUAACGACGUGCCAGCAGCCGCGGUAAUACGAAGGGGGCAAGCGUCAUCCGGAUUGACUGGGUGUCAAGGGAGCGUAGACGGCAGCACAAGUCUGGAGUGAAAUGCCGGGGCUUAACCCCGGAACUGCUUUUGAAACGGUGCAGCUAGAGUGCAGGCGAGGUAAGUGGCAUUCCUACUGUAGCGGUGACAUGCGUAGCUCUUAG